rnacentral:tRNA from 1 species
GCCUGGCUGGCUCAGUUGGUAGACCGUGGGACUCUUGAUCUCAGGGUUGUGGUUCGAGCCCCACGUUGGGUG